UAACGGCGAGUGAAGCGGUAACAGCUCAAAUUUGAAAUCUGGCUCCUCUGGAGUCCGAGUUGUAAUUUGUAGAAGAUGCUUUGGGUUGUGGGCUCGGCCUAAGUUCCUUGGAACAGGACGUCAUAGAGGGUGAGAAUCCCGUAUGUGGCCGAGGCCCGCGCCUAUGUAAAGCUCUUUCAACGAGUCGAGUUGUUUGGGAAUGCAGCUCAAAAUGGGUGGUAAAUUUCAUCUAAAGCUAAAUAUGGGCCAGAGACCGAUAGCGCACAAGUAGAGUGAUCGAAAGAUGAAAAGCACUUUGGAAAGAGAGUUAAACAGUACGUGAAAUUGUUGAAAGGGAAGCGCUUGCACCCAGACUUGGGCGCUGCUGAUCACCUUGCGGUCUCCGCGAGUGCACUCGACAGCGCACAGGCCAGCAUCGGUUCGGGUGGCUGGAUAAAGGCCGUAGGAACGUAGCUCCCUUCGGGGAGUGUUAUAGCCUACGGUGCCAUGCAGCCCAACCGGACCGAGGACCGCGCCUUCGGGCUAGGAUGCUGGCGUAAUGGGUGUAAGCGACCCGUCUUGAAACACGGACCAAGGAGUCUAACAUCUAUGCGAGUGUUUGGGUGGUAAACCCAUACGCGGAAUGAAAGUGAACGUAGGUGAGAACCCCUUUGGGGCGCAUCAUCGACCGAUCCUGAUGUCUUCGGAUGGAUUUGAGUAAGAGCAUAGC
rnacentral:rRNA from 1 species